CGUUAAAAGAUGAAUUUGUGCAAGAUUAGGUUGUUGGUAGAAGUAAUAGUUUACCAAGCCUUUGAUCUUUAGUUGGUCUUAGAGGAUGUACAACCACACUGGAACUGAGACAAGGUCCAGGCUAUUUUUGGCCAGCAGUGAGGAAUAUUGGACAAUGAACGAAAGUUUGGUCCAGCAAUAUUAUGUGAAUGAUUGACGGCUAAUUUUUGGUUGUAAAGUUCUUUCGUUAUAAAUGAUAAUGACGUUAUUUAAAGAAGUUUUAGUCCCGGCUAAUCUCGUGCCAGCAGCCGCGGUAAUACGGGAGGGGCAAGCGUUAUCCGUAAUCACUGGGCGUAUAGAGUCCGUAGAUUGUAAUAUAAGUUAUAUGUUAAAAUUUAAAGCUUAACUUUNNNNNNNUAUACAAUACUGUUUUACUUGAGUUUAAUACAGAAAAGCAGAAUUUCAUGUUAAGGAGUAAAUUCCAAAAAUACAUGAAGGAAUAUCAUUAGCGAAGGCGGCUUUUUAGCACAAACUGACAUUGAGGGACGAAAGUGUAGGGAGCAAACAAGAUUAGAUACCUUGGUAGUCUACACUGUAAAUUCUGAGUGCUGUAAUUUAAGAAGAAUCUUAGAUUUUUUAAGCUAACGCUAUAAGCAUUCCGCCUGAGGAGUAUGAUCGCAAGAUUGGAACUCAA
rnacentral:rRNA from 1 species